UACUAGGGAUUCAGCCUUUAAUAAGAAAGACAAAAGAUCUUGACCUUGUGGAGCCUAGACACUGGCAGAGGAGGAUAAACAAUAAUUGGGAUAAGGGAGGUUCUUCAUGAGAUCCAGCCCAUCUCAUUUCUACAGCAACCAAAUGCCAGGUCUUCUGCUAUUUUCUUCAGGGGAUCAGAGAACAUCUUAAAACCCGGUCUGCAAUUAAUUCUAGAAAAGAAACUCCUGAAAUAUUUUGAAGAGUGGUGGAGUCGUUGGAGUAAGAGCAGCACAUCAAAGAGAGCUGGGCUUGGAGGACAAUCUGCGGCUACAGAAGCUUUGGAUUUCAAAUCAGCAGCCAUUUAAGGAGUCCCACGUCCACGCAAGACAAGUUCUAGGCACUGUGAGCAACGAAACAAGAACAGAAUUCUCAAAGAGCUUCCAGUCCUUGGGGGAAGGGAAGCAGGGAGGAU
rnacentral:lncRNA from 1 species